UGUAAGUUGCUAUGGAUAAGAGCGUCUGCUAAAUGACGUAAAUGUAAAUGUAAAUGUAGAUCUGAGCGAGGGCCCCAGUCCUGAGACAAACCCCUUGGAUGGAGCAGACCUACUAACAGGGGCAGCCACUAGUGUCUGUUUGGCUGAGUUCACAGAGGACAUGCAGGGAUACGCCAAGCUUCUCCUGGCUGGACGGAAGAAGGAGGCCCUAGAGUCGGCCAUGAAGAGUGGACUGUGGGGACACGUCCUGUUCCUGGCCAGCAGGAUGGACAACAGGUUCUACAUCCCUGUGGUAAACAGAUCUGAGCAAGGGCCCCAGUCCUGAGACAAUCCCCUUGGAUGGAGCAGACCUACUAACAGGGGCAGCCACUAGUGUCUGUUUGGCUGAGUUCACAGAGGACAUGCAGGGAUACGCCAAGCUUCUCCUGGCUGGACGGAAGAAGGAGGCCCUAGAGUCGGCCAUGAAGAGUGGACUGUGGGGACACGCCCUGUUCCUGGCCAGCAAGAUGGACAACAGGUUCUACAUCACUGUGUUGAACAGUCUCUCAUUCAAGGAAUUUGCCCAGAAUUCUGCCAUUCGGUGCACUGAGUUAUUCGAGUACUGCCAACGACUUGGAGAUAAAUUCUUCACUAUCCCCUCCUUCCAGGUGUAUAAGUUCCUGUAUGUGGGCCGUUUUCUGGAUAUUGGGCUGGCGUCCCAGGCCUAUCACUAUUGUGAGGUGAUAUGGAUGUCUUUACUCAGACUGCAGGAGCUCUGCAUGGUGCUGCUGGGAGAGCUUAUCAAGGCAUAGCACUUCACCAUGGACCUCUGACAUAUAAACAUCUGAUACGCUGGCAGAGCGGCUGAAUCAGUGUGAGGGAAUGGCACAACUCAGUGACACAGCUGACGACAGGCCUGGACAGGACCCUGGCUGGCUACAGCAGCUGCGAUGCAGACAGCAGGACAUACGGGUGACCACACCACAAUGCAUCGUCAUUGUACCCGUCAUGUCUCUCUGUCACAUGUUUUCAUGUUCCUCUGUUUCUGUUGGAUAUGAUGAUUACAGUAUAAAACAUAUUUAUUGAGUACAAACAACCUUGUGUAGAGUAGGGAUUUGUUGUUGUUGAUUGAGUAAGGGUCAUAAAUGGGACUCACUAAAUCCUGGAUAUUAGGAUAGAUAUGGAUAUUAGCCUACAGUAUAACCCACUGGUACUGGUAGGUUAUCAGGUGAGUGAAAUUAUGUCAGUAGGCACUUAUGUCAAGGUUACUGAGGUGGUAAGUAUUUACUAUAGUCCAGAUGGCAAGACUAGUGUCUGGUUUAAACGUGUCUCUACCUGCACAAUGUUUGACCUUACAUAGACACUGAUAGCAUUGUAAUUACUACAUUAUGAUCCCUUUUUACCAAUCAAAUGAUAAAUGAAUAACAAUACCAUACUCGUUUUUCUCUCCUCCAAAACAUUCACUCCACAUUAAGAUGCUGUGGUUAAAACACAUGUAUUUGCUUAGAUGGGGAGCUGUGGUUGUAGUGAUACAUACCUGGGACCUACAGUCCCAGAUCAUUAUUUCAAUGAAUAUUUAGUUUAUUGGAUUUAUAUAGCACUUUUUCAGAUGCUCAAAGCAUUUACAUAGUAAGGGGGAACUUACCUCAUCCACCACCAAUGUGAAACACACCCCCAGUUUCUGCUUUGGUUUCCGUUUAGAAUCAGACACCGGUGACCUUUCUGUGAGGGGUGAUGCAUGUGCAGGCACAGCAGAUCAACGUCCCACCUCUGCUGCCAGUCAUGGCUUCUUACAAUCAGCCUGCAGUGCCCCUUGUGGCGGGAGGUCAGGACUACAGUUACCACAACACAGACACUGCCCAUGCUCAGGAUUGUCCUUCAGCCACGGAAGAGGCUGAUCAUUCUUCUGUCCCAGGCAUGGAUAUUGUCAUGGUUAUGGAGGGCAGCAGGCAUGCCAGCAGUGAGGGCACCAGGCCACCAUCACAGAGGGGGGAAAGGCCACAGAGACAGACAAAAUCCAACUAAAACAGGGAAACUCGUAGAAGCCUUAAGACAUGGAUCAGUGAGCACCGCAGCAAUAUACGGACAGGAAGUGAUGUCACUGAGUAAUGCCGCUAUAUAUUGGACCUUCCACCCCCACCUGGGAUAUGGAUGCCAGAUGAAGACCUAAGGGUCGAAACGUUGUUGUAAAUAAAUAUCACCUGGGAGCAUGAGCAGCAGUGUGCAGCAUUUUCUUUUCUGUUUUCCAUGAGUUUGCCUACAACUCCAGCACCUGCGGAAAGUACCUGGAUGUGCGUAUGUUCUUCAGCUUUUGUACUUAAUGGCCAUGUACUCUUAUAAUCUCCACCCGGCACAACCAGAAGAGGACUGCCCCCCCCAUCAGAGCCUGGUUCCUCUCUAGAUUUUUUCUAGGUUCCAGCCUUUCUAGGGAAUUCUUCCUAGCCACUGUGCUUCUACAUCUGCAUUGCUUGCUCUCUUGGGUUUUAUGCUCGGUUUCUGUAUAAGCACUUUGUGACAACUGCCGAUUUGAUUGAUUGAUUAAUUGAUUGAUUGGUGUAGGCCUACACGUGACCAAGGAAUUACAACCGGUGUAAAAAUGCAAUAUCACAUUUGAAUAUAAACAGUUUUUAAGUCAUACUAAAUCAUUAAUAAAUGUGCAAGAAAUUGUGACAAAAACAAGUCCAUAUUAGGUUACUAGUUAUCACCUCCUAAUGGUUUAGACUCUAGGGGGUUAAGAGAAUAAAACAUAAAUGUGUGGAAUUUGCAUUUAUGUUGUCUAGGAACCAAACUCUUCAAAUAUAAUUUUGGAUGCGGACGGUAUUUCAAAUAUUUUCAGACAGAUCCGAGGCCCCUGGCCAUUGAAUGGGAUUCGACCCUGGAUCCAACGGUUAAAUACAUAAUGUGGGAUCUGACUUGGUCGGACCCCAGGUCAGAUCUCCGGUAUUGUCACGUCCUGACCAGUAAAAAGGGUCAUUUGCCAUAGUAGAAUUGUCAGGGCGUGGCAGGGGGGUUGUUUUGUGUGUGUUGUUCUUUUUUGGUUCUAGGGGAAUUUGUUCUGGUUUUCUAUUUGUAUGUUUCGUUUUCCAUGUUUGGCCGAGUAUGGUUUCCAAUCAGAGGCAGGUGUCUUUCGUUGUCUCUGAUUGGAAGCCAUACUUGGGCAGCCUGUUUUCCUUUGGGGUUUGUGGGUGGUUAUUUUCCGUUUAGUUGUUGUCGUUUUGUUAUUUUUCUAAAGUGUUCUUCAUUAAAGAAUCAAGAAUGAGCACUA